UUCGCGAUCAUGUAGUGCACAUGAAAUUUGUGUGGCCAAUAUUGGCGUGCUUUGGGCCAAUAUUUGCGCAAAUUCUAACAGUUUAAUUAUUGAUUUAAAAUUGUGUGAAAAGUUUGUAAUGUGAAGAGUGCUUAUAAUGAAAAGGCGCGAAAACAUUUCAUUGACUGCGGCCAUUAAAGAAAAAAAAUAAGUUUGAAAAUGGAACACCAACCUCUAACUCGGCCACGGGCGCUCCGUAAAAAGACAACUACAAUAUUUGACUCCACCGUUCGAAAAUCGAAUAUUGUUUCAUCGACGCAAGCCGGUAUCAGUUUGUAACGUGUUCUACGAAAUUUAUGCACUCAGAAGCAGUUUAUCGAAAUGUGACAGAUAUUUAAUAUCGUCAGAAAAUAAUCGGUAUUUUAUUCUUCAUUUAUAUCUGUCUGUGAACAAUUCUGUUUAUAUUAUGCAUUACUCAUUACGUGUUUUACAUUUAGUUUAGUUACCAUGAAUCUAUUGUAAGGCGUUAGUGUACAAAAAAAUAAAAUUAACUAUCAAAACGUCUAAAAUUUACGUAGGAACAACUUUACUUAUUUAGGAACAAUAUUAUGUAGGAACAACAACUAUUGAAAUAUAACUUAUCAUACGAUCUUCUCUACGUAGAUUCAUUAUUUAAUUGGUUUGAAUAUUAAAUUUGUCAAAAGUCAGUUUAAUGAGCGAGCCUGUCGUUCAUUACAUUUCGUUCAAAAUAACAGUGUAAACUCAAUGUUACCUAAAACUAUGACUUCUGUUUUUUCCCUGCCGAAUUAAAAAAAAAAACAUAGCCCAUAUAUGAUUAAACUCAAAUAUAAUAUCUUUAAUUUUUGGCACAAGUAUUAGCAUGAAAUAAUCUUCGCUACCGAAUGAAACGAAAGUGAAACUUGUGAGUGUUGUGAAGCGGUAAUAAUGACGAAUCGACUUCAGCAUUCGGAAACCGAUAACUCUUUCUACGAAAUGUUCCACAGUUAAUUCAUAUUGACUGUUGUUGAAACUGGUGAUUUUAGAAAUAAUGUAUAAAUGUUAUCAAUGAAAUAAUUAAUGAAUUUGUGGGCUUUACACAAAUUCAUUAAUUAUUUUAAUACAUAUUGAGAAAAUAAAAGGAGACCAUCUAAAAAUUUAUGGCAAUAUCGUACUCGUAACUCAUUUGUAAGGUAAACAUAGAAAUGGCAUCUUAAUUUCUAUUUAAUUUAAAAAAAAAACAUCAAUGUUUUUAUUAUGGAUUUUAAAAUACGCAAAUUUUUAUAUCUGGAUAUAUGUCAUAAACUAAUAUAUAUCUCUUCCUUUUUUUGAAGUCGGUUAAUAACUCCUAUAAAGAAGAGAAAGAAGAAGCCUAUGUAAAAAGAACUCAAUGAAAAAAAAUACGAAAACGACAUACUGCAUAUUUUUAUUGUUGUAAUUAUUACCGAUGUUGUUCUGUGAUCGUAUCUUUUUAAUGUAUAAAAUACUCGUCGAUCUGAACAGUCUACUUUAAAUCAAAAGCCAUGAUAGCAGUUCCAUAUAUAAAUUUAUACUGGUCAUUAUAUUAUACCUAUGUCGUCUAUAUGUAUGUUUAUCUUUGUUAUUCUAACAACAGCUGAGUUUCAGUAAACAUCAUCGUCUCCUUCACUUAAAAUAUCAAUAUCCGGAAGUAUCAGGAAUCGAUAAUCAAUAUCAACAGCGUAUACUUUUCUAAAACUAAUAUUGUAACAUGCUCGAAGCUUUUUAUUUUGUUAAUUUUUAAAGCCACGGAACUUAAUAGACUAUAGAAAAAUAUUUACAUUUAUGCUUACCUAUUACAAAAAGAUAAAUGUAUACUGCUUAAAACUGUAGGGUGUAGGUAAUAUUAAUUAAAACUUAAAAGAGUUUGAAUAGCUAAACGCUACAAUUAUUUUCAAUGGAUGAUUUUCAAUUUUUAACCAAGGAUUAUUUCCAAAAAAAAAAACAAAUAGAAAAUAGAAUAAAAAUUUUAAAUGUAACUAUAAGCAAGACUUAUUUUCAAUAGAGGAUUUUCAAUUUGAAUCAAAAAAUAGAAAAAAUAUAGAAUAUUUCGGAACAUAUUCAAUAAUGUUUCGAAAAGUAGUUUUAUUAUCCAAAUAUUCCUUAAUGUCAGAUACUAAAACUAUGUUUAGAUAAACGUACUAUAAAUACUGACCUAAAUAAGACGAAACAAAGAAAGUUAAUGUCUAAUUAAAUUUAUAAUUUGUAAAACUGUCUAGCCUCUGUAGAAUAAUUCUGCCCUACUGUUUCGCAUAGCCUAAUUGCGCAUAGCAUUACUCUUAAAAACACAAACAAAACAACAUUCAUUUUUCACGAAAGAGAAUUUUUAAAAUUCAAACGACAUUUUCUGGGAGAGGUUAGUAAUUAUACGAAAAAAGCGCGCAGCGAAACGCCGCCAUCUUGAAUCCGCGAGGCGUCACAAGCGACCUUUUUGCUAAAAAAAGGCCUAAGUCCGAGUUUAAUACAUACGUAUUAUGUGGGAGACAGCGGUGAUUAAGUAGAGAAAACGUUUUAAGCGAACGUAUGCUGUAUUCUAAAGUUCUCAAGGUGUGUUUUCGCUUGAUUCAAAAUUCGUUGUUUUUUACGUUUUAGCGCAUAGGGAUCGGCGAGGCACAUUUAGCGGACCCACCCUCGCAGGGAUGAGAUUUCUUAUAUAGUGAUAUAUUUCUCUAUCAGAGAGGGGUAGCAGAGUGGAACUGUGUAAUGGAUAUGGAAACGCGGUGCUUUAUCGCCGAGUCUGAUGUUUCAAAAAGCACAGAUUUUUUUUUCAUUUUGCAUUGUGCUUAACUACCAUAGACAAUUUUUAAGUUCAUAAUCUACGUUUGCAAUAUAUUAAGCAACCAUAAAAUUAAUUCAACUUUACAAAAAUUAGACCAAUCUAAUUGAUUUCCAUUAAUUUGAAGUUAGGAGAAAAGCUUGCAGCAUUGUUUGGUUUACUCAUAAUGCUAUUUUCGUGAUAAACUGUAUUGAACAAUACUUAAUAGCUAUCUCGAUUACAUUGCUUUUUUAUUUGUUUUAUCGUUUACCUUAAUUGUAGUCUUCCUUGGAUAUGUAUGUACCUAUUUAUUUUCAAAAUAUAGAAUCUCAUUACAAAAAUAAUUUUCUUUCCAACUUGCAUAAUGUCUCUGCAAUAAACAUUUUUUAAAAAAGUUACGAUCCUAUUCACGCUCGGUUUUAGUUUUGCGCGCGAAAGAUAAAGGUUGGCUGUUGUGUCGCUUUGCUUUAUGCUUUAUGCCCGUGGAAUUCAAAGGCUUUAAUUUUUUAAACUUCACAAAGAAGGAAAGGAUUCCAAAGAGUAUUUAUUCAUUUUAAUGAUAACUAGUUUCUCUAUACCUUUAUUACAUUUUGCUACCUACUGUAUGUUUUAAAAUCGCAAACGUUUGAUUGUAUUUUUUUAAACCAAUAACUUUUCUAAUAGUGCGAUAAUAUUUCAUUUUACUAAUUUUAAUUUGCUGUAUUUAAUUUACAGUUUUUGAGAUUUCAUGAUUAUGUCAUCUGUAAUUGUUUUCUAUGUAGUUGUCCAUCUACCAGUAUUUUGCAUUAGAUAUUUCAUUGUUAUUUAUUCAUAAUUUAUUAAUUAACCCACAACAGAAUUAAUAAUUGCCAUGACAACUUCUUUCAUUUCAUCCUCAAAACUUACGCUAACUUUGCAAAUUAAAAAAAUUCCAAAAUUCUCUAAUAAUUUUCUAAUAUGAAAUAGGUAUGAAGGUAGGAUAUAUUGACAGAAUCUAUCCCUUUUGUAUUUGUAAAAUCUUGUAUAAAGAGAACUCUGGACAUUGGAUUUCCAGGUUGGUUGAAACAAGACAGUAUUCUAUUAAUAUACUCUCCAGUUCCUGUAUUUAAUUCAUUUGCAAUAAAUUUCGAUAUGGCGAAAGCCUGGAGAGGCGUUAACGUUUACUGCAAGCAAAAAUCUGGUCAACUUUAUGACGUCUCUGUCGUUUUCUGUAUUUUUAAUCGAAUUCCCUAUUGAAGCUUUUCGUUUUUUACUAUUAAUUAUUUUACCUUUAGAUUGAAAAUUGCAACUUUAUAUUGCAGAAUUAAGCUCCAUUUACCCUCUGCUUACAUUGCUGGAGAAUAAACUUCUCCAUUGACAAACAUCGAUAUCUCAUUUUAGAUGUGCAUUCAACUAUCUAAGUACAACUGAGGCGUGGUUCAGAUUCUACGUUUUAUCAAAUUUCUAAUGCAAUUUCUUCUGAUUGUAUAAACUGAAUUAUUUUUGUAUUGCAAAUGAUUUGACAGGUAUUUAUAAUUGACAGUGGAUAGAAAUCCAUAUUUCUGUUUAUUACUUUGGCCAUCUUUGAGUAUCGAUGGAAAGUAAGCUUAAUUUUUUCAAACAGUGCAAAGAGCAGUUUUAACUUCUGUGUUGAACAAUGUUGUGGCUGCAAUGGCGACUAUACGAGCCACAACUUGUUCUGAUUUUUAAUGAUGAAUCUCAUCAUAUUCCACCUCAUUGCAGAUGAACUCCUGCCAUAUAGCUUUAUAGUUUGAAUGAUGAUAAAAAUGAUUAACAUCAAGGAUUUUAAAAUUCAAUAUUAAGAUUGAGAUAAAUAAAUAACAUUGUUAUCCAUUCUGAGUAAUUUAUAGAAAUAAAAAUUAAAAUAUUUAGACCAUACAUUUUGUUUCCGAAAUUUGCCUAACUUAAUUACAUAUUGUCUGUUUUUAGUUAGCAUAGGAUUAACAUUAUUAUAUUCAAUUCGAACAAUAACAGCUAAAUUCAAAUAAAAUGUAUUUGUUAAAAAAAAUUAAAUAGGAACAUACUGAUUAAACUAAAAAGUAGGUAUACCUACUGGCUUAAAAUAGACGCAAAAUAUGUUUCGUAAAAUUUGAUAUAAUUUUGAUAAUGUAUAACAAUGUAAAAUAAUAAUCACCAAUGUAAUACCGAAUUAUAAUGUAACAUAAAAUGUUAUGUCCAAUAAACAAAUUCAAAAUUC